rnacentral:rRNA from 1 species
UACGUAGGGGGCUAGCGUUGUCCGGAAUCAUUGGGCGUAAAGCGCGCGUAGGCGGCCCGGUAAGUCCGCUGUGAAAGUCAAAGGCUCAACCUUUGAAUGUCAGCGGAUACUGCCGGGCUAGAGUCCGGAAGAGGCGAGUGGAACUCCUGGUGUAGCGGUGAAAUGCGCAGAUAUCAGGAGGAACACCAGCGGCGAAGGCGGCGCUCUGGGCCGGAACUGACGCUGAGGAGCGAAAGCGUGGGUAGCAAACAGG